rnacentral:rRNA from 1 species
CAGCAGCAGCCGCGGUAAUACGGAGGGGGUUAGCGUUGUUCGGAAUUACUGGGCGUAAAGCGCACGUAGGCGGCUUGGUAAGUUAGAGGUGAAAGCCUGGAGCUCAACUCCAGAAUUGCCUUUAAGACUGCCGAGCUAGCAGGUGAGAGAGGUAAGUGGAAUUCCGAGUGUAGAGGUGAAAUUCGUAGAUAUUCGGAAGAACACCAGUGGCGAAGGCGGCUUACUGGCUCAUACUGGACGCUGAGGUGCGAAAGCGUGGGGAGCAAACAGGAUUAGAUACCCCUGUAGUCCCUGUCUCUUAUAC